AUGUUUUCUUAUUUCUUAUUUUAAUUUUAAAUUUGUGGCACUUUUAAAAUUAUUUAUUUGUGAUGCAUUAGUACAGUUUAGAACUUUUAAUUGCUCGGCUCUUGCUAUUUGAAAGAGUGAGUUAUCAUGUUCAUUAGGACAUUUAUUGGUUGCAAGUUAUGCUUUUUCUGAUCAUGUUCAUUAGGAUUUAUUGGUUGCAGGUUAUGUGUUUGAUCAAAUGUCAAUAUGAUAUUUUUGGGUAUGUUUUCUUAUUUCUUAUUUUAAUUUUAAAUUUGUGGCACUUUUAAAAUUAUUUAUUUGUGAUGCAUUAGUACAGUUUAGAACUUUUAAUUGCUCGGCUCUUGCUUUUUGAAAGAGUGAGUUAUCAUGUUCAUUAGGACAUUUAUUGGUUGCAAGUUAUGCAUUUUCUGAUCAUGUUCAUUGGGAUAUUUAUUGGUUGUAGGUUAUGUGUUUGAUCAAAUGUGAAGAUGAUAUUUUUGGAUAUAUUUUCAUAUUUCUUAUUUUAAUUCUAAAUUUGUGUCACUUUUAAAAUUAUUUAUUUUUCACAUGGGAUAUAUUUUCAUUCCAGCAUUUUAAUAGAUUUGUAUUUAGAGGAGGAACUCACACGGGAGACAAAUCACGUCGGUAGUGCAAUGAAGGAGGAGGAACUCACAAGAAUGAGGUUAUGUGUUUGAUCAAAUGUCAAUAUGAUAUUUUUGGCAUUUUAAUAGAUUUGUAUUUAUCGGAGGAACUCACACGGGAGACAAAUCACGUCGGUAGUGCAAUGAAGGAGGAGGAACUCGGAAGAAUUAUUAGAGAAAGGGGUAAUUCUGUCUUUACUGAUAUAAGUAGGGGAAUAAGUGUAAUUUCACAUAAGGGAAGCAUUUUGUUAUGAGAUAAACACUUUUCCGUUUCCGCAAAAUACGUGUGCGAUUCCGUGCAAUUCUGUUAUUCUGUUUUUCUUCCAUCUCCUUCUUGCUCAUCUUCUCCAUCAAUAUGAUAUUUUUGGGUAUGUUUUCUUAUUUCUUAUUUUAAUUUUAAAUUUGUGGCACUUUUAAAAUUAUUUAUUUGUGAUGCAUUAGUACAGUUUAGAACUUUUAAUUGCUCGGCUCUUGCUAUUUGAAAGAGUGAGUUAUCAUGUUCAUUAGGACAUUUAUUGGUUGCAAGUUAUGCUUUUUCUGAUCAUGUUCAUUAGGAUUUAUUGGUUGCAGGUUAUGUGUUUGAUCAAAUGUCAAUAUGAUAUUUUUGGGUAUGUUUUCUUAUUUCUUAUUUUAAUUUUAAAUUUGUGGCACUUUUAAAAUUAUUUAUUUGUGAUGCAUUAGUACAGUUUAGAACUUUUAAUUGCUCGGCUCUUGCUUUUUGAAAGAGUGAGUUAUCAUGUUCAUUAGGACAUUUAUUGGUUGCAAGUUAUGCUUUUUCUGAUCAUGUUCAUUAGGAUUUAUUGGUUGCAGGUUAUGUGUUUGAUCAAAUGUCAAUAUGAUAUUUUUGGGUAUGUUUUCUUAUUUCUUAUUUUAAUUUUAAAUUUGUGGCACUUUUAAAAUUAUUUAUUUGUGAUGCAUUAGUACAGUUUAGAACUUUUAAUUGCUCGGCUCUUGCUUUUUGAAAGAGUGAGUUAUCAUGUUCAUUAGGACAUUUAUUGGUUGCAAGUUAUGCAUUUUCUGAUCAUGUUCAUUGGGAUAUUUAUUGGUUGUAGGUUAUGUGUUUGAUCAAAUGUGAAGAUGAUAUUUUUGGAUAUAUUUUCAUAUUUCUUAUUUUAAUUCUAAAUUUGUGUCACUUUUAAAAUUAUUUAUUUUUCACAUGGGAUAUAUUUUCAUUCCAGCAUUUUAAUAGAUUUGUAUUUAGAGGAGGAACUCACACGGGAGACAAAUCACGUCGGUAGUGCAAUGAAGGAGGAGGAACUCACAAGAAUGAGGUUAUGUGUUUGAUCAAAUGUCAAUAUGAUAUUUUUGGCAUUUUAAUAGAUUUGUAUUUAUCGGAGGAACUCACACGGGAGACAAAUCACGUCGGUAGUGCAAUGAAGGAGGAGGAACUCGGAAGAAUUAUUAGAGAAAGGGGUAAUUCUGUCUUUACUGAUAUAAGUAGGGGAAUAAGUGUAAUUUCACAUAAGGGAAGCAUUUUGUUAUGAGAUAAACACUUUUCCGUUUCCGCAAAAUACGUGUGCGAUUCCGUGCAAUUCUGUUAUUCUGUUUUUCUUCCAUCUCCUUCUUGCUCAUCUUCUCCAUCAAUAUGAUAUUUUUGGGUAUGUUUUCUUAUUUCUUAUUUUAAUUUUAAAUUUGUGGCACUUUUAAAAUUAUUUAUUUGUGAUGCAUUAGUACAGUUUAGAACUUUUAAUUGCUCGGCUCUUGCUAUUUGAAAGAGUGAGUUAUCAUGUUCAUUAGGACAUUUAUUGGUUGCAAGUUAUGCUUUUUCUGAUCAUGUUCAUUAGGAUUUAUUGGUUGCAGGUUAUGUGUUUGAUCAAAUGUCAAUAUGAUAUUUUUGGGUAUGUUUUCUUAUUUCUUAUUUUAAUUUUAAAUUUGUGGCACUUUUAAAAUUAUUUAUUUGUGAUGCAUUAGUACAGUUUAGAACUUUUAAUUGCUCGGCUCUUGCUUUUUGAAAGAGUGAGUUAUCAUGUUCAUUAGGACAUUUAUUGGUUGCAAGUUAUGCUUUUUCUGAUCAUGUUCAUUAGGAUUUAUUGGUUGCAGGUUAUGUGUUUGAUCAAAUGUCAAUAUGAUAUUUUUGGGUAUGUUUUCUUAUUUCUUAUUUUAAUUUUAAAUUUGUGGCACUUUUAAAAUUAUUUAUUUGUGAUGCAUUAGUACAGUUUAGAACUUUUAAUUGCUCGGCUCUUGCUUUUUGAAAGAGUGAGUUAUCAUGUUCAUUAGGACAUUUAUUGGUUGCAAGUUAUGCAUUUUCUGAUCAUGUUCAUUGGGAUAUUUAUUGGUUGUAGGUUAUGUGUUUGAUCAAAUGUGAAGAUGAUAUUUUUGGAUAUAUUUUCAUAUUUCUUAUUUUAAUUCUAAAUUUGUGUCACUUUUAAAAUUAUUUAUUUUUCACAUGGGAUAUAUUUUCAUUCCAGCAUUUUAAUAGAUUUGUAUUUAGAGGAGGAACUCACACGGGAGACAAAUCACGUCGGUAGUGCAAUGAAGGAGGAGGAACUCACAAGAAUGAGGUUAUGUGUUUGAUCAAAUGUCAAUAUGAUAUUUUUGGCAUUUUAAUAGAUUUGUAUUUAUCGGAGGAACUCACACGGGAGACAAAUCACGUCGGUAGUGCAAUGAAGGAGGAGGAACUCGGAAGAAUUAUUAGAGAAAGGGGUAAUUCUGUCUUUACUGAUAUAAGUAGGGGAAUAAGUGUAAUUUCACAUAAGGGAAGCAUUUUGUUAUGAGAUAAACACUUUUCCGUUUCCGCAAAAUACGUGUGCGAUUCCGUGCAAUUCUGUUAUUCUGUUUUUCUUCCAUCUCCUUCUUGCUCAUCUUCUCCAUCAAUAUGAUAUUUUUGGGUAUGUUUUCUUAUUUCUUAUUUUAAUUUUAAAUUUGUGGCACUUUUAAAAUUAUUUAUUUGUGAUGCAUUAGUACAGUUUAGAACUUUUAAUUGCUCGGCUCUUGCUAUUUGAAAGAGUGAGUUAUCAUGUUCAUUAGGACAUUUAUUGGUUGCAAGUUAUGCUUUUUCUGAUCAUGUUCAUUAGGAUUUAUUGGUUGCAGGUUAUGUGUUUGAUCAAAUGUCAAUAUGAUAUUUUUGGGUAUGUUUUCUUAUUUCUUAUUUUAAUUUUAAAUUUGUGGCACUUUUAAAAUUAUUUAUUUGUGAUGCAUUAGUACAGUUUAGAACUUUUAAUUGCUCGGCUCUUGCUUUUUGAAAGAGUGAGUUAUCAUGUUCAUUAGGACAUUUAUUGGUUGCAAGUUAUGCAUUUUCUGAUCAUGUUCAUUGGGAUAUUUAUUGGUUGUAGGUUAUGUGUUUGAUCAAAUGUGAAGAUGAUAUUUUUGGAUAUAUUUUCAUAUUUCUUAUUUUAAUUCUAAAUUUGUGUCACUUUUAAAAUUAUUUAUUUUUCACAUGGGAUAUAUUUUCAUUCCAGCAUUUUAAUAGAUUUGUAUUUAGAGGAGGAACUCACACGGGAGACAAAUCACGUCGGUAGUGCAAUGAAGGAGGAGGAACUCACAAGAAUGAGGUUAUGUGUUUGAUCAAAUGUCAAUAUGAUAUUUUUGGCAUUUUAAUAGAUUUGUAUUUAUCGGAGGAACUCACACGGGAGACAAAUCACGUCGGUAGUGCAAUGAAGGAGGAGGAACUCGGAAGAAUUAUUAGAGAAAGGGGUAAUUCUGUCUUUACUGAUAUAAGUAGGGGAAUAAGUGUAAUUUCACAUAAGGGAAGCAUUUUGUUAUGAGAUAAACACUUUUCCGUUUCCGCAAAAUACGUGUGCGAUUCCGUGCAAUUCUGUUAUUCUGUUUUUCUUCCAUCUCCUUCUUGCUCAUCUUCUCCAUCAAUAUGAUAUUUUUGGGUAUGUUUUCUUAUUUCUUAUUUUAAUUUUAAAUUUGUGGCACUUUUAAAAUUAUUUAUUUGUGAUGCAUUAGUACAGUUUAGAACUUUUAAUUGCUCGGCUCUUGCUAUUUUAAAGAGUGAGUUAUCAUGUUCAUUAGGACAUUUAUUGGUUGCAAGUUAUGCUUUUUCUGAUCAUGUUCAUUAGGAUUUAUUGGUUGCAGGUUAUGUGUUUGAUCAAAUGUCAAUAUGAUAUUUUUGGGUAUGUUUUCUUAUUUCUUAUUUUAAUUUUAAAUUUGUGGCACUUUUAAAAUUAUUUAUUUGUGAUGCAUUAGUACAGUUUAGAACUUUUAAUUGCUCGGCUCUUGCUUUUUGAAAGAGUGAGUUAUCAUGUUCAUUAGGACAUUUAUUGGUUGCAAGUUAUGCAUUUUCUGAUCAUGUUCAUUGGGAUAUUUAUUGGUUGUAGGUUAUGUGUUUGAUCAAAUGUGAAGAUGAUAUUUUUGGAUAUAUUUUCAUAUUUCUUAUUUUAAUUCUAAAUUUGUGUCACUUUUAAAAUUAUUUAUUUUUCACAUGGGAUAUAUUUUCAUUCCAGCAUUUUAAUAGAUUUGUAUUUAGAGGAGGAACUCACACGGGAGACAAAUCACGUCGGUAGUGCAAUGAAGGAGGAGGAACUCACAAGAAUGAGGUAAUAUGAAUCAUGCAUCUUUUAAAAUCAGCAUUGUUCAAUGUACUUAUAUAUGUAUAUAUAAAU